GACGAACGCUGGCGGCGUGCUUAACACAUGCAAGUCGAGCGAACGGACGCGUAGCUUGCUUUUCUGAUGUUAGCGGCGGCGAGGGGAGUAAUAAGUGGAUAAUCACCCUAUCCGACUGGCAGAAUAUCGGGAAACCGGUGCUACUACCGCAUAAUAUUUUGAACCGCUUGGUUCAAAAGUGAAAGACGGUCUUUGUGUCACUGAUAGAUGGAUCCGCGCUGCAUUAGCUAGUUGGUAAGGUAACGGCUGACCAAGGCAACGAUGCAUAGCCGACCUGAGAGGGGGAUCGGCCGACCUGGAGCUGAUGCGCGGUCCAGACGCCUACGAGAGGCGGCAGUAGGGAAGCUUACGCAAUGGGGGGAAGCAGGACGGAGCAGCGCCGCGUGGGUGAUGAAGGUCUUCGGAUCGUAAAAAUCUGUUAUUAGGGGAGAACAUAUGUGUAAGUAACUGUGCACAUCUUGACGGUACCUGAACAGAAAGCCACGGCUAACUACGUG
rnacentral:rRNA from 1 species